AUGGGAGAGGGAAAGACUCACAUCAUCAUCAUCGUAAUCGGACACGUAGACUCUGGCAAGUCCACCACAACUGGCCACCUGAUCUACAAAUGUGGUGGGAUCGACAAACAAACCAUCGAGAAGUUUGAGAAGGAGGCUGCUGAGAUGGGAAAGGGCUCCUUCAAGUACGCCUGGGUCUUGGACAAACUGAAAGCAGAGUGUGAGUGUGGUAUCACUAUUGACAUCUCCCUGUGGAAAUUUGAGACCAGCAAAUACUAUGUGACCAUCAUUGAUGCCCCAGGACACAGAGAUUUCAUCAAAAACAUGAUUAUAGGCACAUCCCAGGCUGACUGUGCUGUCCUGAUUGUUGCUGCUGGUGUUGGUGAAUUUGAAGCUGGUAUCUCCAAGAAUGGGCAGACCCGUGAGCAUGCUCUUCUGGCUUACACCCUGGGUGUGAAACAGCUGAUUGUUGGUGUCAACAAAAUGGAUUCCACCGAGCCACCUUACAGUCAGAAGAGAUACGAGGAAAUCGUUAAGGAAGUCAGCACCUACAUUAAGAAAAUUGGCUACAACCCCUGACACAGUAGCAUUUGUGCCAAUUUCUGGUUGGAAUGGUGACAACAUGCUGGAGCCAAGUGCUAAUAUGCCUUGGUUCAAGGGAUGCAAAGUCACCCGCAAAGAUGGCAGUGCCAGUGGCACCACGCUGCUGGAAGCUUUGGACUGCAUCCUACCGCCAACUCGUCCAACUGACAAGCCUCUGCGACUGCCCCUCCAAGAUGUCUAUAAAAUUGGGGGCAUUGGCACUGCCCCUGUGGGCUGAGUGGAGACUGGUGUUCUCAAACCCGGCAUGGUGGUUACCUUUGCUCCAGUCAAUGUAACAACUGAAGUCAAGUCUGUUGAAAUGCACCAUGAAGUUUUGAGUGAAGCUCUUCCUGGGGACAAUGUGGGCUUCAAUGUA